rnacentral:rRNA from 1 species
AUUAAACGCUGGCGGCAGGCCUAACACAUGCAAGUCGAACGGUAACAGGAAGCAGCUUGCUGCUUCGCUGACGAGUGGCGGACGGGUGAGUAAUGUCUGGGAAACUGCCUGAUGGAGGGGGAUAACUACUGGAAACGGUAGCUAAUACCGCAUAACGUCGCAAGACCAAAGAGGGGGACCUUAGGGCCUCUUGCCAUCGGAUGUGCCCAGAUGGGAUUAGCUAGUAGGUGGGGUAACGGCUCACCUAGGCGACGAUCCCUAGCUGGUCUGAGAGGAUGACCAGCCACACUGGAACUGAGACACGGUCCAGACUCCUACGGGAGGCAGCAGUGGGGAAUAUUGCACAAUGGGCGCAAGCCUGAUGCAGCCAUGCCGCGCGUAUGAAGAAGGCCUUCGGGUUGUAAAGUACUUUCAGCGGGGAGGAAGGGAGUAAAGUUAAUACCUUUGCUCAUUGACGUUACCCGCAGAAGAAGCACCGGCUAACUCCGUG